rnacentral:misc_RNA from 1 species
UCCCCGUUGCCGAGGCAGUCUAGUUAGAAAAAUUCAACUAACUACAAGGGUUGCGCUCGUUGAUGGACUUAACCAAACAUCUCACGACACGAGCUGACGACGGCCAUGCAACACCUGUCACUUGGUUCCGAGGCACUCUCGCCUUUCGGCAAAAUUCCAAGGAUGUCAAGCCUGGGUAAGGUUCUUCGCUUAUCAUCGAAUUAAACAACACGCUCCACCGCUUGUGCGGGUCCCCGUCAAUUCCUUUAUGUUUUAAGCUUGCGCUCGUACUCCACAGGCGGGAUGCUUAACGCGUUAGCUUCGCCACGCACCGGGUCGAUACGGUACACGGCUAGCAUCCAUAGUUUACGGCGUGGACUAC